rnacentral:sRNA from 1 species
UGCCUAAACUCUAUUUAUAUGGAGCAUGGCAUAAAAAAAUCCCAUCCCUGAUACUGAGCUCCCCGUUCAGUACUCAGGGAUGGGUCAUGGCCGAAAGGUUAUGGGCAAUUGAAAGAUUGUC